GGGAGUAUAACUUAAUGGUAUAGUGUAUGCUUUGCAAGCAUAAAGUUAUCGGUUCAAGUCCGAUUAUUUCCA
rnacentral:tRNA from 1 species